rnacentral:rRNA from 1 species
UGAGGAAUAUUGCGCAAUGGGGGCAACCCUGACGCAGCGACGCCGCGUGAGUGAGGAAGGCCUUCGGGUCGCAAAGCUCUGUCAAAGGGAAAGAAGUGCAUGGUGGCUAAUACCUGCCAUGUUUGACGGUACCCUUAAAGGAAGCACCGGCUAACUCCGUGCCAGCAGCCGCGGUAAUACGGAGGGUGCAAGCGUUGUUCGGAAUCACUGGGCGUAAAGGGCGCGUAGGCGGUUUGAUAAGUCAGAUGUGAAAGCCCACGGCUUAACUGUGGAAGUGCAUUUGAAAAUGUCAGACUUGAGGAUCAGAAGGGAAAGUGGAAUUCCCGGUGUAGAGGUGAAAUUCGUAGAUAUCGGGAGGAAUACCGGUGGCGAAGGCGAUUUUCUGGCUGAAUACUGACGCUGAGGCGCGAAAGCGUGGGGAGCAAACA